rnacentral:rRNA from 1 species
UAUCCUGGCUCAGGAUGAACGCUAGCUACAGGCUUAACACAUGCAAGUCGCAGGGUAACAUGAGGAAAGCUUGCUUUCCUUGAUGACGACUGGCGCACGGGUGAGUAACGCGUAUCCAACCUUCCCAUAACUACGGGAUAACCCGUUGAAAGACGGCCUAAUACCGUAUGAUAUCGUUUGCUGACAUCAAAUAACGAUUAAAGGUUUAGCGGUUAUGGAUGGGGAUGCGUCUGAUUAGCUUGUUGGCGGGGUAACGGCCCACCAAGGCUACGAUCAGUAGGGGUUCUGAGAGGAAGGUCCCCCACAUUGGAACUGAGACACGGUCCAAACUCCUACGGGAGGCAGCAGUGAGGAAUAUUGGUCAAUGGGCGAGAGCCUGAACCAGCCAAGUAGCGUGCAGGAUGACGGCCCUAUGGGUUGUAAACUGCUUUUAUGUGGGGAUAAAGUGCGUGACGUGUCAUGCAUUGCAGGUACCACAUGAAUAAGGACCGGCUAAUUCCGUG